rnacentral:misc_RNA from 1 species
AAGUCGUAACAAGGUUUCCGUAGGUGAACCUGCGGAAGGAUCAUUCAUAAUCAAGUGUUUUUAUGGCACUUUAAAAAAUCCAUAUCCACCUUGUGUGCAAUGUCAUCUCACUGGAAGGUCACGGCUGUAAAAAUCCGGCGGCCAACUUUUGGGAUUUAUAUCUACUCAGAACUUUAGUGAUUUUGUCUGAAACAUAUUAUGAAUAACUUAAUUCAAAAUACAACUUUCAACAACGGAUCUCUUGGCUCUC